UACGUCCUACGGGAGGCAGCAGUGGGGAAUUUUGGACAAUGGGCGCAAGCCUGAUCCAGCUAUUCCGCGUGUGGGAUGAAGGCCCUCGGGUUGUAAACCACUUUUGUAGAGAACGAAAAGACACCUUCGAAUAAAGGGUGUUGCUGACGGUACUCUAAGAAUAAGCACCGGCUAACUACGUGCCAGCAGCCGCGGUAAUACGGAGGAUGCGAGCGUUAUCCGGAUUUAUUGGGUUUAAAGGGUGCGCAGGCGGAUUUUUAAGUCAGCGGUCAAAUCGUGGGGCUCAACCCCAUCCAGCCGUUGAA
rnacentral:rRNA from 1 species